ensembl:lncRNA
GGGUGUAAUUUCACCCAUCUCUGCAGUGACAUUUCCCAUCCUUCAGGACAGCAGAGGUGAAACUCCUCUUUCAGCAGCACAAUUUCAGGUAGGUAACCACCUCUGAGCCACUGAGCUGGAAGUAAAAGAAAUGCGAGGCACAGGGAGCAGGCUUCAGGAGAUGCAGGCCUGGGGACAGAAAGCUGAGUAGCUGCAUGUUGAUUUGUGUGUCUUCAUUGUGCUGCUGCUUCAGCUGCCAUGCAGCCUCCGAGUCCUGAUGCUGUUUUCUGUGAUAGACGCCCAGUGCAUGCACCAGUGAGUCCUGCUGAGGGCUGGGCUGCUGUGUGAGGCUCCUCUGGGGGCUGAUGCUCAGAGCUUUUACCACCUGGCCUUGUCUGCAAGGAAAGUGAUCAUUCCUCUAAUCUCGGGAGCUGGAGAUGAUCCUUCACCAGUCUGAGCUCUGCUGAAGUUGUUGGGGUGACAGCUAUUAUCUCUGCUGGAUUCCAGGCUGAUAUCAUCGUGCUGGAACCAGGCUUUGUGGCGACAUGCCUCUCCCUCCCUCCAGCAUCCAGCUCACCCUGGCCACAUGUGCAGCCCAGGCCACGACCUCGGCCUUGGCUGGGCUCUGACGCCCAUUUAACAGUCAGAGGCUGGAAAGGGAGUUGCUGCUGUGCUAUUUUUAACCAGCUGGACAGUUAAAUAAUUCAGAGGCAGACACACACAGAGUGGUCUGGGCUGUGUGUGGAUCUGAGAGGGAACAAGAGCAUUGUAUCAACCCUGCUGGGCUUGCUUAACCUCAUCAAGCAUGGGUUCUCAGGCUCUUUAAUACAAACAUGAAACAAAAACUAAACUUUCAGAAGUAAAAUCCCUGCCUUACUGGCGUCAAUGGGACUCCUGGCUCUGAGUGCAAUGGAGCCUGGAUCACACUUAGCUGCAAGGCAAGAGCUGUUCAGUAUUUCCUUGCUUUCUAAUGCUGCAUAAUUUUUUUUCCAUGACAAUAAAACCCACUUAUGGUGUGUAGAGUCCA